rnacentral:tRNA from 1 species
GCCGGCGUAGCUCAGUUGGUAGAGCAGCUGAUUUGUAAUCAGCAGGUCGUCGGUUCAAGUCCGUCCGCCGGCU